UAUUGGCUCACAUGGUUGUGAAAAUAUAUCAUUGUGGUUGGUUGUUAAAAUACUCAUUGUGAUUGGUUGUGAGCAUGACAUCCUCAUAUCACACUCAUUCAUGAAACAUUGGUACCACCGUGGCAACAUCUGAGAAACACUGGCAACACCUUUUUAAAACCCUUCUCGAGAGAUGUGCCGGGAAGAAGAUAUUGUAACACCUUAUAAAACCCUUUUUGAGGAAUGUGCUGGAAAGGAGUUAUGAGAUAUGUGGAUUGUA
rnacentral:lncRNA from 1 species